rnacentral:ncRNA from 1 species
AAAAAUGCGUUGAAGGGAAACAGUAGGUUCCAGAAAGCUUUCAGAGAGCUGCCGGCAGGUGCGAGGCAGCAGCGGAAUGGAAGUGAACUCGUCUCUAAGCAGCCAGCUGAAAUGCCAUGGGCAGAGUAGGCGGGGCCGGGGCCUGGCCGUUAACAGACAGGAGGGUAUCGACACGAGUCCGUACCUGUAAAGAGCAUAUCCUUUGGGAUAUGAAUAAGAGUGGUAACGCGCGAGUAAAUCUUUCGUCUCUUCU